rnacentral:rRNA from 1 species
GUAAUACCGGCACCUCAAGUGGUCAUCAUUUUUAUUGGGCCUAAAACAUCCGUAGCCGGUUUGGUAAAUUUUUGGGUAAAUCAACCCGCUCAACGGGCAGAAUUCCGGGAAGACUGCCAAACUAGGGACCGGGAGAGGUGGGGGGUACUCGGUGGGAAGGGGUAAAAUCCUGUCAUCCAUAGAGGACCACCUGUUGCGAAGGCGCCCCACCAGAACAGAUCCGACGGUCAGGGACGAAACCUAGGGGCGCGAACCGGAUUAGAUACCCGGGUAGUCCCAGGUGUAAACGCUGCGAACUCGGUGU